UCCCGGCCCUGCCCCCGUUCCGCGGCCGGGGGGGGCUGGGGGGGCUCCUGGCCCGGCUGCGGGGGAGGGUCCUGGCGGCCGCGCGCUCCCAGUUAUCCCACAGCCUGCUGACCGAGCGCAACUGGUUCCACUACGCCGCCCGCAUUUGGGACGGGGUGAAGAAAUCCUCAGCCCUGGCUGAGUACGGCCGCUUACUGGGAUAAACUGGGAGCACUGGGAGCCUCGUGCUGCUCUUCAUUAACGACCCCCCUCGUUAAUUAAUGACGCCUAAUUACCCUCGCCGAGGUUUCCUUAUCUCCUUUCCCCUCACGGCUCUGAGGCGGCUCCCCCCGCGCUAAUAAACAGCCCAAAGCGCC